UACGUAGGGUGCAAGCGUUGUCCGGAAUUAUUGGGCGUAAAGAGCUCGUAGGCGGUUUUGUCGCGUCGAAUGUGAAAACCCGGGGCUCAACCCCGGGCCUGCAUUCGAUACGGGCAGACUAGAGUUCGGUAGGGGAGUCUGGAAUUCCUGGUGUAGCGGUGAAAUGCGCAGAUAUCAGGAGGAACACCGGUGGCGAAGGCGGGACUCUGGGCCGAUACUGACGCUGAGGAGCGAAAGCGUGGGGAGCAAACAGG
rnacentral:rRNA from 1 species